AAUAUAUUGGAGACGCCGUAGACCCGCGACCCGGAGCAGCUCAGGAGGCGGUGAAUAAUAGCUCUUCAAGUCUGCAAUAAAAAAUGGCCUCCAAUAAAACUACAUUGCUCUCCCUGUAUUAUGUGGGCGCAAAAUUAAGGACAACAAUGAAAACGUUACAUUGAGAUACUUACCGACUUGGCUUAACAGUGUCUUAAACCUAAUCUUAGGACAGCACAGUCUGGAUUUUGCUGAGUAUUUUUAUCUUCAAAUAAAAAUGCACAAAUUUAUGUAACAGGAAAAGAAUGUUACAUAAACAAAGUUGUAAAGUCCUUGUUGGUUGGCAUAAUAUUCCUUGAAUCUACUGAGUUCUAGUGAAGUCAAAUAUUUUCAGUAAUGCCCAGUUUAGAGAAUAGCAAAAAAUGGGAAAGAAACAGAAUGGGAAGAGUAAAAAGGUUGAAGAGGCAGAGCCUGAAGAAUUUGUGGUGGAAAAAGUACUGGAUCGACGUGUAGUAAAUGGGAAAGUGGAGUAUUUCCUGAAGUGGAAGGGAUUUACAGAUGCUGACAAUACUUGGGAACCUGAAGAAAAUUUGGAUUGUCCAGAGUUAAUUGAAGCAUUUCUUAAUUCUCAAAAAGCUGGUAAAGAAAAAGAUGGUACAAAAAGAAAGUCUUUAUCUGACAGUGAAUCUGAUGAUAGCAAAUCAAAGAAGAAAAGAGAUGCUGCUGACAAACCAAGAGGCUUUGCCAGAGGUCUUGAUCCUGAAAGAAUAAUUGGUGCCACAGAUAGCAGUGGAGAAUUAAUGUUUCUUAUGAAAUGGAAAGAUUCAGAUGAGGCAGAUUUGGUGCUGGCAAAAGAGGCAAAUAUGAAGUGUCCUCAAAUUGUAAUUGCUUUUUAUGAAGAGAGACUAACUUGGCAUUCUUGUCCAGAAGAUGAAGCUCAAUAAUUGUUUGCAUUGCUUUUUAUAUAUAUUUAUAUAUAUAUAUAAAAUCUGGGUCUUGGUUUUUGAUUUACUAGUGUGAAGAAAUAACUACAUCUAAUAAAUCAAGUUUGAUACAAAAA